rnacentral:rRNA from 1 species
UACGAAGGGGGCUAGCGUUGCUCGGAAUCACUGGGCGUAAAGGGUGCGUAGGCGGGUUUUUAAGUCAGAGGUGAAAUCCUGGAGCUCAACUCCAGAACUGCCUUUGAUACUGAGAAUCUUGAGUUCGGGAGAGGUGAGUGGAACUGCGAGUGUAGAGGUGAAAUUCGUAGAUAUUGGGAAGAACACCAGUGGCGAAGGCGGCUCACUGGCCCGUAACUGACGCUGAGGUGCGAAAGCGUGGGGAGCAAACAGGG